rnacentral:rRNA from 1 species
CGAAAGCCUGACGGAGUAAUACCGCGUGAGGGAGGAAGGCUCUUGGGUUGUAAACCUCUUUUCUCAAGGAAGAACACAAUGACGGUACUUGAGGAAUAAGCAUCGGCUAACUCCGUGCCAGCAGCCGCGGUAAUACGGAGGAUGCAAGCGUUAUUCGGAAUUAUUGGGCGUAAAGCGUCCGCAGGUGGUAAUUCAAGUCUGCUGUCAAAGACCGAAGCUUAACUUCGGAAAGGCGGUGGAAACUGGAUAACUAGAGUACUGUAGGGGUAGAGGGAAUUUCCAGUGUAGCGGUGAAAUGCGUAGAGAUUGGAAAGAACACCAGUGGCGAAGGCGCUCUACUGGACCGUAACUGACGCUCAGGGACGAAAGCUAGGGUAGCG